rnacentral:rRNA from 1 species
UACGAAGGGGACUAGCGUUGUUCGGAUUUACUGGGCGUAAAGCGUGCGCAGGCGGCUUUGCAAGACAGAUGUGAAAUCCCCGGGCUUAACCUGGGAACUGCAUUUGUGACUGCAUGGCUGGAGUGCGGCAGAGGGGGAUGGAAUUCCGCGUGUAGCAGUGAAAUGCGUAGAUAUGCGGAGGAACACCGAUGGCGAAGGCAAUCCCCUGGGCCUGCACUGACGCUCAUGCACGAAAGCGUGGGGAGCAAACAGG